rnacentral:tRNA from 1 species
UGGCGCAAUGGUUGAGCGUUUGGCUGAUAACCAAAAUGUUGGCAGUUCAAAUCUACC